rnacentral:tRNA from 1 species
CCCUUCAUAGUUUAGUGGCUAGAACGUCCGGCUGUAGACCGGAAGAUCCCCGGUUCAAAUCCGGGUGAGGGGA